rnacentral:lncRNA from 1 species
GGUUAGAAAUAUAUGCAGGCAAUGUCCCUACGGUCACAGCUCUAAUCAUCAAAAGGGACCAUUUGCCUAGCCCUCUCCUGUCAGCCUCCACCAACUGGACAUCUUUCAUAGGUUCUACUCAAAAUGGGAGCCAAAAAAUAGGUAAGAGGAGAGCACACACAGAAAGGGGCUCAGGGAGGAAUCUGGACGUUUUGGCUGCUUCAAGUUUAUGCUAUAAGCAGAGGGGAGAAUCGAUCAUAAAAUGCUUGUCUUCGUCCAAGGCCACUGGGAAGCAGGCCCAAAAUACAGCUCCAAACUUGAACUGAACACAGAGGGCUAUCUUCAACUCAUCCAGCAAUUCCACAUCAGUUUACCAGGAAAAUUUCCAGCACCAGCUGGUAAGGACUGAGUAGUGUCCUUACAGAAGAGCUCGCUUACCAUCAGAUCACACAACCUUUUCUUCGACUAGUUCAUUCCAGACUCCCAAAGUCCUCUUUUUUUUUUUCCAGCCUCUUUCAAAUUCACCUUGAUUCCAGCACAAAGGACGUUUAUCCUUGUGUAUUCUGAUCCCAGGAAUGCAGGGAAUCCAUUUGGGUUUCUUCCUUUAUUUCCUCAUGCUGUUGCAUGCAACAAACCAAAUUGGACUUCUACAUUUUGUUCACAGUGAAACGAUUCAAGGGAUAGGAGAGUUCUAAGGCACUGAAUUAUCCUUCAGGGAGAAUGAGAAGGCUAUUUUAUUUUGUUUGGAUUUAGGAAAAGGCACUGAGCCAACAUUUCCAUACGCCAAGAACCCAAGUUGACUGAUGGCAUUCUGAGUCCAUUUCACGUCUGUGAACAAAUCUGCAGGUGCUUUAGUGAGGACUCUACCAGCAGCUUUAUAAAUGUGUUUGUC